CAGCAGCCACGGUAAUGCGAAGGGUGCAAGCGUUAAUCGGAAUUACUGGGCGUAAAGGGUGCGUAGGCGGUUAGUUAAGUCUGCUGUGAAAUCCCCGGGCUCAACCUGGGAAUGGCAGUGGAUACUGGCAAGCUAGAGUGUGUCAGAGGAUGGUGGAAUUCCCGGUGUAGCGGUGAAAUGCGUAGAGAUCGGGAGGAACAUCAGUGGCGAAGGCGGCCAUCUGGGACAACACUGACGCUGAGGCACGAAAGCGUGGGGAGCAAACAUGAUUAGAGACCCCCGUAGUCCCUGUCUCUUAUAC
rnacentral:rRNA from 1 species